rnacentral:rRNA from 1 species
UCAGAACGAACGCUGGCGGCGAUGGAUUAGGCAUGCAAGUCGAACGGGAGCAGCAAUGCUCCAGUGGCGGCAAGGGUGAGGAACACGUGAACAACCUGCCUUCGAGUUGGGGAUAGCUUCUGGAAACGGGAGAUAAUACCGAAUAACAUCACCGGAUCGCAUGAUCUGGUGAUCAAAGCAGCAAUGCGCUUGAAGAGGGGUUCGCGUCCCAUUAGCUAGUUGGUGAGGUAACGGCCCACCAAGGCGAUGAUGGGUAGCUGGUCUGAGAGGACGAUCAGCCACAUUGGGACUGAGAUACUGCCCAGACUCCUACGGGAGGCUGCAGUCGAGAAUUUUGGGCAAUGGACGAAAGUCUGACCCAAGCAAUGCCGCGUGCGGGAUGAAGGUCUUCGGAUUGUAAACCGCUGUCAAGAGGGACGAAACAUGACGGUACCUCUGGAGGAAGCCACGGCUAACUACGUGCCAGCCGCAGC